CCUACGGGCGGCAGCAGUCGAGAAUCAUUCACAAUGGGGGAAACCCUGAUGGUGCGACGCCGCGUGGGGGAAUGAAGGUCUUCGGAUUGUAAACCCCUGUCAUGUGGGAGCAAAUUAAAAAGAUAGUACCACAAGAGGAAGAGACGGCUAACUCUGUGCAAGCAGCCGCGGUAAUACAGAGGUCUCAAGCGUUGUUCGGAAUCACUGGGCGUAAAGCGUGCGUAGACUGUUUCGUAAGUCGUGUGUGAAAGGCGCGGGCUCAACCCGCGGACGGCACAUGAUACUGCGAGACUAGAGUAAUGGAGGGGGAACCGGAAUGCUCGGUGUAGCAGUGAAAUGCGGAGAUAUCGAGAGGAACACUCGUGGCGAAGGCGGGUUCCUGGACAUUAACUGACGCUGAGGCACGAAGGCCAGGGGAGCGAAAGGGAUUAGAUACCCGAGUAGUC
rnacentral:rRNA from 1 species